UUAGCAACAGUAAGUCUCAGCAAACAGAGAGAUUCGUAACAUGGUCUGAAAUGAUUUUGCGGUGGUGUAAAAGCGCUGGACGGGGAUGCUGAAGUACUCUCAAAUGAAUUUGUAAUCAUAGAGAAAUGGUCACUCAGGAGAGGGGUGCUGGGUCAGAAACUGAGCAACAUCAAUAUCACAAUGAAAGAUUUUGUUCUAUCAUUGCUGAGUCGUGGAUACGGUCAAAUUGUACCAGAUGAAAAUGGCCAUGAUGGAAGACUGGAGGUCUGUUUUGAACCAGAGGACUACUUUAACUGGAAAUCCCAGCCUCCAUUGCUUCGUCUUACCAGCAGUGGCCAUUUUCUUGGACAUGUGGAGCCGGCUCCGCCAAAGACCUACAGUACAAGAAGAGGACCUCUUAUUCUCUAUUCCGAGGAUCUCGCCUUGUCAUACCAACCUGGUACGCUUAACAGGAAGAGAAAGGCUCCUAGCGGCUCAAAACAUGAAGUAGAUUUUCAUCUGCACACAUUGCAGGACC